ACGAACGCUGGCGGCGUGCUUCACACAUGCAAGUCGAACGGAAAGGCCCUGCUUUUGUGGGGUGCUCGAGUGGCGAACGGGUGAGUAACACGUGAGUAACCUGCCCUUGACUUUGGGAUAACUUCAGGAAACUGGGGCUAAUACCGGAUAGGAGCUCCUGCUGCAUGGUGGGGGUUGGAAAGUUUCGGCGGUUGGGGAUGGACUCGCGGCUUAUCAGCUUGUUGGUGGGGUAGUGGCUUACCAAGGCUUUGACGGGUAGCCGGCCUGAGAGGGUGACCGGCCACAUUGGGACUGAGAUACGGCCCAGACUCCUACGGGAGGCAGCAGUGGGGAAUAUUGCACAAUGGGCGGAAGCCUGAUGCAGCAACGCCGCGUGCGGGAUGACGGCCUUCGGGUUGUAAACCGCUUUCGCCUGUGACGAAGCGUGAGUGACGGUAAUGUGUAAAGAAGCACCGGCUAACUACGUG
rnacentral:rRNA from 1 species